rnacentral:misc_RNA from 1 species
GAUGAAGAACGCAGCGAAAUGCGAUACGUAGUGUGAAUUGCAGAAUUCAGUGAAUCAUCGAAUCUUUGAACGCACAUUGCACCUCUCGGUAUUCCGGGAGGUAUGCCUGUUCGAGCGUCAUUUGUACCCUCAAGCUCUGCUUGGUGUUGGGUGUUUGUUCCGCCUCUGUGUGUGAACUCGCCUCAAAACAAUUGGCAGCCGGCGUACUUGUUUCGGAGCGCAGCACAUUUUGGGAUCCAGAUCAACGUACAGCGGCAUCCAAGAAGCCUUAUUUAACGCUCUUGACCUCGGAUCAGGUAGGGAUACCCGCUGAACUUAAGCAUAUCAAUAAGCGGAGGA